CUAAAAAAUACUAAUCUUUUGUUGGGAUGUGGAAAGAUUACCUAGUCACCAGUAAAGGCCCAGGAAAAGGCUCUUCUUGUCAGCACAUGGUGAAAACAUUCCACCCCCACUGUAGAAGGAAAAAACGAUUUUGGCAAAUUCUUCACUUUUGUGCAGAACCUUGAGUUAUUAGCUUCAUUGUUUCCAAGACAACUUUUAACUGAUGAUCUUUGGAAAUUGAGUUUCUCAGUUGAACUGUACCUUUGAUUCUAUGAGUAAAUCACAGAUUACAGUCUAAUAGAGUCAAUCAAUCAACACAAACCCAACAGGCCCCAUCAUGCUUCAAUCAUAAACAUCCUGGAGCUUGUCAAGCUUUACUGGAGGUGAUUUGCAGUUAAUUAAUUCAACAGACACUUUAAUCUUGCAAAUUCUUGACUUGUAAUAUUGUAACCAAGCUCCUGCAAGGGAACAUUAAUCAGUUAGUGAAAAAGGAGCACUUCCGUUCAGCCGUAGUACCAUGACGUGCACAGGCCUGAAGAGAAAGACCUCUGUGAAGUGGAGCGCUAGUGAAUUCCUGCUACCUGCUUCUUAUUGCUCACGCUAUGAAUAUUCAUCUGCUUCAUUUGUUUUUUCCAGUAAACGCUGUUUUGAAAAAAAAGAAAAAUAUUCCCGGGGGCUUGCAUAGCUCAGAGAACGGGGUACUGGGUCGUGGAGACUUGCUUUAAAUGGAUUCAAAUCCACAUGUUUGGAAAUGAAAAUAAUGCACUGUCAUCUGUUGAAUAAUUGAUCUGUC
rnacentral:lncRNA from 1 species